rnacentral:misc_RNA from 1 species
UUUAUUAAGAAACUGCAGGAUUGCUUCAGAAUGCCUUUUGCAAUAACUAAGUUUCCACCCAUUCUUUGCCGAAAUUUAGAUACCCAAAUACUUGAUUUUUGUGGAAAUUUGAGCGAUUUUUAAAUUUCAGUAAUGGAUAACACUGAACAAAAUUAUUAACUUGAUGUGUCCGACGGAAUAUUUAAUUAGGAGUUGAGGAUUUAUCGUUGCGCUGCUUAGGCAUUGUACAUUUUCGCGGGAAAUCAAUGAUGUUUUGCUUUGCGCGCGAAUUCAAACGUAUCAGCUGAGAAAUGUGAUCGGUCGAUAAAUUCUCAUAAUAAUUUACGAAAUAAAACCAUAUUUUUCAUAAUUUGAAAAAUUUUAAUUAAAAUAAAAAUUAUUUUGGAGUGUAAAGUGGACUCCUAUUUCCGGUUGUGACAAGAAAAACCAAGGGCAAAACUAUGAAUCAUCUGGUUGACGUAAAUGGUAAAAGGCGCUGUUCCCAGGUGGUGGAAUUUAGAAUCACGAAUCGCAAUGACCGCGUUCCUUCUUUAUUCGUAUCGUAGCGUCGUGCGUCGUAUAUCACAAAAGGUUGUGGGUAUAUUUCGUAUGUUUGUAUGUUUGUAAACUCAAACGAACUUGGAAAUCGCGCGAAUUCUAUGAAUACGCAAAGGUUUUUUUUCAUCAUUUUUUGGUAAUACGUAGUGGAGAUUUACUGGAUUAAAAAGCUUUCCAUGCAAUUCUGAGCAUGGCGAGUGACGGAGAGGACAGUGGGAGACAAAAGGAUGCUCUCAUGCAGUCUUACAUUCAAGGAGUCAAGAGGACUGCCCAGCAGGAUAACCGAGACCCUGGGGUCGGUUUUAAUCUACCGAGGGAGGUUAUCCAGCGGAGGGAGAAUGUGUGGAAUAAUUUUUUUGACAAAUAUAAUAAUAAGGUACCGAAUGACGUCGUACUGAAUAUGUUAACGAUGGAGCCUGUGGAAAGUGUGUCGAAUGAGAACAACAAUGAAGAGGAAGAGGGGGAUGAUGAGGACAAUGAUGAAGACGAUGAUGAAGACAACGAUGAGGACAAUAAGGAAUAUUAUUCCAAGUGUAGGGCUCCGAUACGCAAGCUUCCAGCGCUCAUACAAUAUUGGGUAGACACCGGGAAUCCUCCGUAUCAGUUGACAGGAGAUGAGAAUCAUUCCGACACAGGGUCGUCAUUGAGCGAGGGUGAAUAUUCGAGAUCAAAUCAGUCUGCAGCGUUGCGAAAGUCCAUAGAAGAACCCAAAUUCGACGAGAAUUCGCCGUACAGUUCGGUCGAUACAGCCGCAUAUGUGUUGUCGAAUACAAACGUAACGGAAAAGGCAAAAACCCAAGAAAUCGUUGAAGGUGCUAAAAAAUCAAACGAACAUUUGUGUCCCAAGGUUGCGGCACCGACCCAAGAAGAUCGCAAUGCAUCCAAGGUUGCUGACGAAGCUUCGAAAUUGAAUGAAAAUCGUUCCAGUAAUGAAAUUUUGAAAACUCCACAGAAAAGCGCCCCGUUAAAUUGCAUGAUAAGUCCUGGCGGCAGUGUUAUGCUCUGUGAAGUACUUCCGGCGCUACAGCAAUUCGAUGAUCUUCUGGAAAAGUCAGAACAACUGAAAAAGCCGAGUUCAACGUUUUCGAUGGUUCGUCGAACAAGAAAACCCCCCACCGCUAAAAGCACACUUGAAACAAAUUUGAAAAGCCUCUUUGAGUCACAGCCCAAAGAAAAAUCUAGCGAAUCCUUUAACGAUUCCAAAGGAACUGCAAAUUUCAGGAAACUCUACAAAGGAAGAGAUUCUCCUUGCGAUCUGAUAAUGCUAGAAAAUACGAGCAAACUUUCAACAUCAAGGCCAGUUUUGCAUCCAGCCCUAGAACCCGUUACUACGACCGCAACUCUACCCCUCGUUUAUCGUGCUCGAACAAGGAGAAAAAGAAAAAAACCGUCAUUACCAUCAUCUGCCACAUUAUCGGAUGUUGUGCUGCGCCAGGGUGUACCUAACAGCUCGCAAGAGAGCCCCGAACUCGUUCAAGAUGACAAAAACAAUAAUAACGACAUCGAGAAAGAAGGACAUGAAAGAUACUCCGAGUUUUUUGAAUCUCUAGGACUAACUCCGAAAACAUCCUUGAUUGAUAAAGAAGAUAACAAAAUCGUAAGACGACGGUACACGAGAAGAAACUAUCGACAGUUAAUGGGCACUAAAACAGGCUGUACAACUUCGCAAACUACGUCUCCAGAAUCUCUAGAAUCGAUAGAAAAGACAUGCGGCUCGAGCGAGAAACGCGAACGUUCGGCAGUAAUCGCUUCUAAUUCUAUCGAAAAAUUGAGGGAAAAUUUAGGAAAGAAAAUUUUGACUGUACGAAUAACGAGGCUGCCUGAUCAAGUUUUGGCUCGUUAUCAACAACAAAAAAGCAAAUCAUCUCUCAGGUUCAACGACGUAUCGCAUCACGAUAAUUCCAACAUCGAAGUUCUUACGACUGUGACUAAUGACAGUGAUUCCAGCACUAUUCUCAUUUAUUCCUGCGGCCAUGAUAAUGUCGAUCCAUCUUACGAGAGCGACUAUUCGACGAAAAUGUUAAGCCUCUCGUCGCGCUCUGUAGAAAAAGCCAUUGAAAAUGGAGGGAAAAAUGAAAAAUCGAAGUUGCCGGCUGAUCGAACUUUCGCCACGGACCCUGCGGAGCCUUUAUUCGUUGAGUCUUCUUCAAAAAUAUCAGACAAACUGAAGAAUGAUGAACCGCGCGAUCUCGUUGUUACGUUCCCAAAAUUGCCUUCAAAUCAGGGAGCAAACGUUACGCGAACGGAAGAGCAAUACAAAAAUAAACCGCGAGAUUUGAGGGUGAAAAAUUUGAACUUAACGACAUCGACGACCGUGUCGAGCGUUCAACCAGAAUCGCAGGAUUCGAAGGCCAAAAAUUUGACGAAAUCUCUGUCACGUCCUUCAAUUCAGAUGGAAAAUGGGAUUGGGGGCGGCGAACUCGAUUCUCGGGGAUGUAAAAAGUCAAGAAAAUUGGAAAAUCUCGAUCGAGACGAAAGUGAUCGAUUUUCUUUUGGUUUCAGUAUCAAAACUACCUCGGAACCUGAUGAAGAUUGUUUGAAUAGUCUCAUACGAGAAAAAUCUUUGGAACCGCACAAAAACAGGAAGAAAAGUAAAAAUUCAAGAACCGUAACAAAACGGGAAAUGAGGAAUGGAGAAAUGAACGGUGGGCCGGAAACUAACGCGAAGAAUGCUCACAAACCUCAUUCGCGGAUCGUGAUAUCAUCUGACGAGGAAGAAGACCAUCCGGUCACGUUUUCACGGACACUGAGAUCGAUAAGGAGUCCGAAAAAAAUCGAUACAAAGCUCACAGCUUCGAAACGCUCGAAAAACACACGAAAAGUAAUCGACGAGGUUGUAAACGAUUUAAACGGUGAGAAAGUCUCAGACGGAUCAGGAAAUUCCAAUAAAUCUGGAGACGGCGAAGUGACGAGUCCGUCGACGAAAAACAGGGAGAACAGUGAUCCCAGAAGAUCUAAAAGAAAAAGAUUAGCGACGACUUGGUUGAACGAAGCAGUCGAGUCGAAAAAUCCAUCAGGAGAAUCGAGCGAUGGUCUCAAAACAGUUGAAUCUCUAAAGAACAACAAAUUCGGAAAUUUGACGGACAUCAACUCGAACUUUCGUCAAGAAAAGAGAAAACGUCUCGAAAACGAGGUGCCUCGAGACGUUAAAAAAUCGAAAACAACGCAUGCACUCAAGUUUUGCACGCGUCUCAGUUCCGAUUCGGACUCUAAUUUUGGUUUCGAGUCAGAAAAAUCUGUCGCUGCUGAUGAUAAAUCUGUGAGAGCUCAGUCGACUGGACCAAAAGUCAGUUAUUCAGAAAAAACCUUGAAAAAACGGAAAAAUGUGAAGGAAAGUGAGAAAAAAUCGUUGCACCUUCCCGACGAGAAAUCCCCUAAUACUGCGAGCAAAGAUUUAAGAGAAAAAACGAGAAUUCCGCCUGUCCGAAGUAAAACCAACGCAAGAAUCCGAGCGAGAGAAACAGCGACGAAAAAAGUGCGAAGAACGAGAAUUCUCGGGACUGCGAUUCGGGAAGAAAGUGACGACGACGAUAGCAAAUACGUGAAAACUCUUGCGAACAAGUCUACCAAGUCUAAGUUAACGAUAAACGAGAAAGCUUGCGUGCAUCCAAAAGACGCGAACGUCGACAGCCCUGCGCCCGAAAAACUUCAAGAUUAUUUGCGAACUUUUUCCCCUGAUAUUUUGGACAAUUCUAUUUUGGAAAUUGACAACAUAUUCAAAGCGAACGGUCAUUAUCAGAAUAGAAACAGCGAUGAAAUCUCAACGAAACUUGUCAAACCGAUUGUUAAUAAAAAUUUGAUAAAUACGCGAAAAUCUACGAGAACUUUUCGGACCAAGUUGACCAGUGAUUCUGAGAAUAACGACGAUUUAUAAAGACCGUAAAAAGUCGUGCUUCUUGACGCUGCACGUUGCCAACAUUUCAUCUUCGAACCGACGUUGAAUCUUCGUCUUAUUUUUUUAAGAAAAUAGUGAAAUUAAUUAUCGUAGCAAUCAACCAGAAUCUAUCGUAUUCAUAACUUUGAAGCUAGCAGCGUUUGAGAGCAGCCAAACAUAAAUUUCUACUUUACUGAAUUUUUUCACUGGACUCAUUCGUGGGCUUGAAAGAUCGAGAAUUUUCUAUACCUCGAAACUGAAGAUGGAUGUUGGAGAGAAAAACAAAUCUGGCUGCGUUUGAACGCUGCUGAAACUUCGGUACCAAUUUUAUACAAUAAUUCCUAGUUGUCAAAUAACUCGUUAAGAAACACUAGUUGAAGGGGUUUCUGAAUUGACACUCUUGCUCACUUUCGUGGAUGAGCCUUCGGUUUUUCGAAUGCGAAUAGUUUAAUAAUCAAAAGUAAAAACACCGAAAAACUGAGGCAUCCGGGGUCAUACAUAUGCAUAGAUUACGAAUGAAAAUCUAUGUAGGAAAAAAGGAAUGAAAAGUGAAGAAGAAAUAUAUACGAAGAAGGUGACGAGCCUCUACGAAAAUACGAGAAAAAAAAACGAUUUUUUUACGAAUAUUAUAACUCGGUUCUUCCAAAUAUUUAUCUGUAAGUUUGAUUACAAUUGUAUAUAUGAAAAGUAUAUAAACAUUAUUAAAUUGUAUCAUCAGUCAUGUCAAAAAUCAACAGCAAAAGCCAUGGUUUAUGUAAAUAAUAAAACAGCACAAAUAUUUUUUAAAAAAUUUCGAGUUUAUCGGGAGAAAGUGUGAUUUAUAGAUGUCUUGUUUAAUUGCUCAGCAGUUGACACGACUUUGCGUAUGACGAUUGUAAAAAAAUUUUGCACGAAGAAAAGAAAUGACUUCACCUCGUGGCUGUGCCUAUAACGUGGUGACGAUUCAGAAAUAAAUGGUUUGGCUGAGAAACGUAA